GAGCACUCAGUAAGAAAGGAUAGCUUUUCUCCCUUUUCUGCUUCGCUCCCAACUAAGAAUGCAGAGUCAGGGAGAUGGCGCAGAGACAAUGCUGCUGUCCAUUGAAGCCCUCCAAAGGUCGGAGAUUCGAUCACAGGACAGCCUGGCCUGGACCAAGUCAGGUUGAUAUGGCUAGGCGGCCUGCUGGCGAGAUAGUGGGAGUGGGCGGUCCGCCCCUCAGGACCUCUGACUUGGACAGAUGACUGGAUGACUCUCUGGGGCAGCAUUCACCGGAACUCAUAUGGAGGGGACUGCCUGAGAAACCAACCUGUGUGCCUGGGUCAGGUUGAUAUGGCUAGGCGGCCUGCUGGCGAGAUAGUGGGAGUGGGCGGCCCGCCCCUCAGGACCUCUGACCUGGACAGAUGACUGGAUGACUCUCUGGGGCAGCAUUCACCGGAACUCAUAUGGAGAGGACUGCCUGAGAAACCAACCUGUGUGCCUGGGUCAGGUUGAUAUGGCUAGGCGGCCUGCUGGCGAGAUAGUGGGAGUGGGCGGUCCGCCCCUCAGGACCUCUGAUUUGGACAGAUGACUGGAUGACUCUCUGGGGCAGCAUUCACCGGAACUCAUAUGGAGGGGACUGCCUGAGAAACCAACCUGUGUGCCUGGCCCACCACCUACCAGAGGUAUUGGAAAAGAACGGAUACGGAGGAAGUGGACCCAUUUAGAGUUUUCAGGUUUGAAAAAAGGAUGGAAAAGAACUCAAAUUCAGAGAAUCCCAUUUCUUCAGAUGCUUCUGUCAGGACUCCAUGUCAAUCUCAACUCCUUCAUUCUUGUCCUCAAGUGUUUCUGUCAGGCUGUUUGCACUCACAUCUUCAAGAGCUGCCAGAUCAAGAGAGGGCAGAGGGUUCCUCCAAUACUGGAAUGUAUUAUACUGCCAAAACUCUUCAGGCUGCUGGCUGUGCACCCGGUCGGCUACCUGCGGGCUUCCCGCGUUUUCUACUCUGUCGCCGCCGCCCGCAGCCCGGGGUUCCUCCUGCUCGCCAGGAGGCGGCUCUCCGGGCUCCCGGCUACAGCCCUGCAGCUCCUGUCUGUCGUCCCCGCCAUGAUCCCCGCGUCCCCCUGGCGCUUGAGGGGCCGAGCCGUCCCAGACGGCGGGACCCAGAGCGGCGGCUCCUCGGGGAAGUCGCUGAGCAGGAGCCGCUUCCAAGGCACGCGGAACGUGAGCGGCUCAGCCGCACGCCGCUUGGCCAUGGGCCAGGGACGAGGGUCGCACGGGUGUCGGCCGAGGGCGGAGGGCGAAGGGCAGCCAAGACAUCUUAUGCCAUCACAUUCUCUAAUGACUGAUUAAAAAUAUAAAUCAUUUGCAU
rnacentral:lncRNA from 1 species